rnacentral:lncRNA from 1 species
AUAGGAGAGAAGGGUGGUAUUUGGAAAUGAAUGUAGGGAAUGGGUUUUUCAUAACUAAUAAAGGGUAUAUUUGGGAGAAUUUUAGAAAAGCUCCAUAAGCUCAUUGAAACGAUAGUUUAAGUAGCUUUUUAAAAAGACUUAUUAGCUACUUUUAAGCUUGUCAAAAAGGAAAACAUAAAUAAGCUAGUUGUGCCAAGUGCCAAACAUAGCCUAACUAUUAGAAAAGGAUCAAAGAGAGUACUCCUUUUACUCCCUUAGAUGGGUGUAUAGCAACUUAAAUAAUCAAUUAAUCAUGAUCAUAAAAUAUGAAAUCAAUCAUGACAUUAAAAAGAAUAUAUACUCAAUUGUUAAAUAAAAAAUCUUUGGACAUAAUGAAAAAGGGGAACCUAGUAUUGCCAGGUAGGCUAGUAAUGAAAAUAGGGUACAUUGGUAUGUUUAGUUCUUCUUCAAAAACAAUAACACAACUAAUCAAAGCACUAAUUGUAGUUAAAAGUUAUAAAUGAACACAAACUUAUAACUCCAAUGCAUUUCCAUGUGAAUUUAUCUCACAUGGUACUAGAGUUCUAGCUUUUCAUGUGGUCCUCGAAAUUUAUAUUUUGUCAUGCUUCUCUUGUACAUAAUGUUUUCGAUUAUUUUAUGUGAUUAUGGCAUUAUUCCAGUAUGUUAGUGACUAAAUAACUACAAAUUAAGAAGAAGAGUGUGUAAGUAUAACCUUCUGAAUUUCCAGUGUGCAGCUGCAGGGACUUCAACUGGGGGUAGGGAUUCCUUCUUCCAGCCAAGUAAAGCAUCAAAAGCAUUGAAGUGGAUUUUGGUGCCACUGCUCAUGUGCUUAAGAACCAAACAACUGUCCCCAAACAUCAUAUCUGGCAAGUGGUUUGUCUCAAGCUUUUCUUCCCACUUGCAAAAGGUUUUGGAAAACAGUAUCCAUAACUUAUCAGGAAUGAAAAUAUAGUUUCAUAAUAUAGUGUUCUUCAUAACUUGCAAGAGGCUACACACAAAUCAUUUUAUUGCAAAUAUACCAAUUCAGAAUUACAAUUCAUGCGUGAGCUUAAUAUCUAUAACUUGUGUCAGUUGCCCAACUUAAAUUUAAAUAGAUAUGUAGAUGCAAAUCUAGGUUUUCAUUUAUUUCCUUUUACAGUUUCUUUUGGGGGGAGAGGGGGCUGGUAUUGGGGAAUUGGGGAUUACAAUUUCUUCUGAGUCAAAUCUCAGGAGGUGAGAAUUGAGCGGUUGUUAGACUCAAUCUCCCAGCCAUGAAUGCGGAGUCCUCUACGUCCGUCCGGUAGAAGCUCAGCCCCGGCGGCUUUAACCUCUUUCUCGUCCGCUUCCCACUCCAUCUUUGUAUGUGAGUCGGAGUCGUAGGUGGUGUUUGCUGAAAAUUUGAGAUUUACUCAACAACCACGCCAACUGUAGCAUCUAGGUUUGAAUGAUACGUUCUUCCGAUUUUACUAUUUUAGUUGAUGUCAUGUACCGACUACGAGUGAUCAAAUUAAUUUUCAUAUGAUUCUCUUAUAUUACAGAAAAUUGCAAAAUUAUAUAGUUUCUAAUUUUCUAAAAA